rnacentral:rRNA from 1 species
CGAAUGGGGAAACCCACUUGAAGAUUCUUUGUUUUCAAUCACUCUUAAUUUCAAUUUAUUGGAAACAAGUGUGUUGAGGACAGAGAGUCUAAACAAGUACUUUUUACCUGAAUAUAUAGGGUUUAAAGAGCAAACCCAGGGAACUGAAACAUCUUAAGUACCUGGAGGAAAGGAAAUCAACCGAUACUCCGUUAGUAGUGGCGAGCGAACGCGGACCAGCCAAGCCAUGAGUGUGAGCAGAAUCAACUGGGAAGUUGAGCUAAAUGGGUGAUAGCCCCGUAUGCGAAGUGCGAGUGGAUGUAUUAAGUAGGGCGGGACACGUGAAAUCCUGUUUGAAGAUCGGAGGACCACCUUCGAAGGCUAAGUACUCCUUAUGACCGAUAGACC